UGCUAUAUAAACCCAGUCAUCGUUUUCAUUCUCAUCAAUCAGUUUUUAAAGUUCUGUCAAAAUGAAAAUAUUUCAAAUAAUAUUUGUUGUGGCCUGCGUUAUAGCUGCCGUCUCUUGUAAUCCCGGCAAUAACGAAAUCGGUGGAAAUGGCAAUACCAAUAAUAAGCAGAGUAAUGGUGAUGGCACAUUUUGUGCUUUGUGCGGUUAACAGCCUUUAAUGAAUGAAAUAUUCUUGUUUUCGAAAAUUAAAAAUAAAUAAAUUUCAAUGAUUUCAUAAAACAAGUUAAA